AGUGAACGCUGGCGGUAGGCCUAACACAUGCAAGUCGAACGGCAGCACAGUAAGAGCUUGCUCUUACGGGUGGCGAGUGGCGGACGGGUGAGGAAUACAUCGGAAUCUACUUUUUCGUGGGGGAUAACGUAGGGAAACUGACGCUAAUACCGCAUACGACCUACGGGUGAAAGCAGGGGAUCUUCGGACCUUGCGCGAUUGAAUGAGCCGAUGUCGGAUUAGCUAGUUGGCGGGGUAAAGGCCGACCAAGGCGACGAUCCGUAGCUGGUCUGAGAGGAUGAUCAGCCACACUGGAACUGAGCCACGGUCCGGACUCCUACGGGAGGCAGCAGUGGGGAAUAUUGGACAAUGGGCGCAAGCCUGAUCCAGCCAUACCACGUGGGUGAAGAAGGCCUUCGGGUUGUAAAGCCCUUUUGUUGGGAAAGAAAAGCAGCAGGUUAAUACCCCGCUGUUCUGACGGUACCCAAAGAAUAAGCACCGGCUAACUUCGUG
rnacentral:rRNA from 1 species